GAACGCACAUUGCGCUUCCUGGUAUUCCGGGGAGCAUGCUCGUUUCAGAAUCAUUAACAACUCGCAAAGCUUAUGAUUACCCAUUUGGUGUAAUCUAAGCCAAGCGGAUAUGAGCGUUAUGUAGUGCAUUUUUUACAAAUGACAUUCGCUUUAAAAUGAUUAUGUGCGUACUUGAUUUAUGGCAAUCAGGACUCCAAAGUGCAACAGAUAAUGCUUCACUUUGCGUUUCUUGAUUGAUCCAUAGCAAUGCGUAAUUCCAACUCACACAAAUGAGUUGCAAGAGAUUGCAACUGGUUUGAUAACUUGGUCUGAAAUCGAGCAAGAAAACCCGCUGAACUUAAG
rnacentral:misc_RNA from 1 species